rnacentral:rRNA from 1 species
GAUGAACGCUGGCGGCGUGCCUAAUACAUGCAAGUCGAGCGAACGGACGAGAAGCUUGCUUUUCUGAUGUUAGCGGCGGACGGGUGAGUAACACGUGGAUAACCUACCUAUAAGACUGGGAUAACUUCGGGAAACCGGAGCUAAUACCGGAUAAUAUUUUGAACCGCAUGGUUCAAAAGUGAAAGACGGUCUUGCUGUCACUUAUAGAUGGAUCCGCGCUGCAUUAGCUAGUUGGUAAGGUAACGGCUUACCAAGGCAACGAUGCAUAGCCGACCUGAGAGGGUGAUCGGCACACUGGAACUGAGACACGGUCCAGACUCCUACGGGAGGCAGCAGUAGGGAAUCUUCCGCAAUGGGCGAAAGCCUGACGGAGCAACGCCGCGUGAGUGAUGAAGGUCUUCGGAUCGUAAAACUCUGUUAUUAGGGAAGAACAUAUGUGUAAGUAACUGUGCACAUCUUGACGGUACCUAAUCAGAAAGCCACGGCUAACUACGUG